rnacentral:rRNA from 1 species
CAGCAGCCGCGGUAAUACCGGCGGCCCGAGUGGCGGUCACUCUUAUUGGGCUUAAAGCGUCCGUAGCCGGGUUGGGAAGUCCUCCGGGAAAUCUGGCCGCUUAACGGUCAGAAUGCCGGAGGAUACUCCCAGCCUAGGGAGCGGGAGAGGCCGAGGGUAUUCCCGGAGUAGGGGGGAAAUCCUAUAAUCCCGGGAGGACCACCUGUAGCGAAGGCGCUCGGCUGGAACGCGUCCGACGGUGAGGGACGAAGGCCAGGGGAGCAAACCGGAUUAGAUACCCGGGUAGUCCUGGCUGUAAACGAUGCGGACUUUGUGUCGGACAAGCUAUGAGCUUGUCCGGUGCCGGAGGGAAACCGUUAAGUCCGCCGCCUGGGGAGUACGGCCGCAAGGCUGAAACUUAAAGGAAUUGGCGGG